AGAUAUGAGGGCAAUAUGGCUGUGACAUCUGUCAUCUCACGGGUUCACAGUGUUGAUUUAGCUGGUUCUGGCGGCUAGAUAAAUGUCCUCCUACUUCCUCAACUGUCCCACGUGUCCCCUUCCAAAGCUGCAUGCUCCAUUGAAGAUGACCUUCCCCAGUAGAAAAGGGCCAUCCUUCAGUCAGGAGUGUAUGCAUGGCUGCAUUCCCCUGCUAGACCCUCCAAACAAACCCCCAAGGUCAAAUUCUGCCCACCCUAACUGAGCUAGAAACCCGUUAUGUGACUUUGUGCUAAUAGCUCCCAAGAUGCAGGUCAUCGCAUCUUG
rfam:Cricetulus griseus cell line CHO-K1, whole genome shotgun sequence.